rnacentral:rRNA from 1 species
GACGAACGCUGGCGGCGUGCUUAACACAUGCAAGUCGAACGGAAAGGCCCUGCUUUUGUGGGGUGCUCGAGUGGCGAACGGGUGAGUAACACGUGAGUAACCUGCCCUUGACUUUGGGAUAACUUCAGGAAACUGGGGCUAAUACCGGAUAAGAGCUCCUGCUGCAUGGUGGGGGUUGGAAAGUUUCGGCGGUUGGGGAUGGACUCGCGGCUUAUCAGCUUGUUGGUGGGGUAGUGGCUUACCAAGGCUUUGACGGGUAGCCGGCCUGAGAGGGUGACCGGCCACAUUGGGACUGAGAUACGGCCCAGACUCCUACGGGAGGCAGCAGUGAGGAAUAUUGCACAAUGGGCGGAAGCCUGAUGCAGCAACGCCGCGUGCGGGAUGACGGCCUUCGGGUUGUAAACCGCUUUCGCCUGUGACGAAGCGUGAGUGACGGUAAUGGGUAAAGAAGCACCGGCUAACUACGUG